GGUUUCUCUGUGUAGCCCUGGCUGUCCUGGCUCUCACUCUGUAGACCAGGCUGGCCUCGAACUCAGAAAUCCACCUGCCUCUGCCUCCCGAGUGCUGGGAUUAAAGGCAUGUGCCACCAUGCCCG
rnacentral:miRNA from 1 species